CGUCUAGGCGGAUCGGUAAGUCGGCUGUGAAACCCCUCGGCUCAACCGAGGAAGUGCAGCCGAAACUGCCAGUCUUGAGGGCGAGAGGGGAGAGUGGAACUCCUGGUGGAGCGGUGAAAUGCGUAGAUAUCAGGAGGAACGCCGGUGGCGAAAGCGACUCUCUGGCUCGUCCCUGACGCUGAAGCGCGAAAGCUAGGGGAGCGAACG
rnacentral:rRNA from 1 species